GAUUGCUAAGAUUAUGGUUUUAGCAACAAGGCUUGAAUUAUUCAAGAGAGUCUAAUCCCUUCAUUUUGCGAAAAAUGUAAACACAUAGAUAAAG
rnacentral:ncRNA from 1 species